GAUGAACGCUGGCGGCGUGCUUAACACAUGCAAGUCGAACGGUGAACACGGAGCUUGCUCUGUGGGAUCAGUGGCGAACGGGUGAGUAACACGUGAGCAACCUGCCCCUGACUCUGGGAUAAGCGCUGGAAACGGCGUCUAAUACUGGAUAUGUGACGUGACCGCAUGGUCUGCGUUUGGAAAGAUUUUUCGGUUGGGGAUGGGCUCGCGGCCUAUCAGCUUGUUGGUGAGGUAAUGGCUCACCAAGGCGUCGACGGGUAGCCGGCCUGAGAGGGUGACCGGCCACACUGGGAUUGAGACACGGCCCAGACUCCUACGGGAGGCAGCAGUGGGGAAUAUUGCACAAUGGGCGAAAGCCUGAUGCAGCAACGCCGCGUGGGGGAUGACGGCCUUCGGGUUGUAAACCGUUUUUAGCAGGGAAGAAGCGAAAGUGACGGUACCUGCAGAAAAAGCGCCGGCUAACUACGU
rnacentral:rRNA from 1 species